rnacentral:misc_RNA from 1 species
GUGAAAAGUAAGUUCUAUAAAACUAUGGUCAAGUUAGCUAUACUGCGUGGGAAUGAAUGUUAGCAUAUAAAGAUCCAACAUAUGUACAACAUGAGUGUGGCUGAAAUGCGAAUAUUAAGAUGGAUGUCAUGUAUUAUAAUAAUAGAUAAUAUUAGGAAUGGCUACAUUAGCUAGAGAGUACAUAUAAUACACAUUAGAGAUAAAAUGAGAGAUUAUCGAUUAAAAUGUUUGGUCAUGUCCAAUGUCGAGCAUCGAAUGCCUCAAUUUGGAAAUGUGAUGAAUUAAUUCAAAAAAGUGAGAAGGGAAAGGGGAGACUUAAAAUGAUGUGGAGGAAAGGAGUAUCAGAAGGUUUAUAAUUUUUGGACAUUGAUGC